AUUGAACGCUGGCGGCAUGCCUUACACAUGCAAGUCGAACGGCAGCACGGGGCAACCUGGUGGCGAGUGGCGAACGGGUGAGUAAUGCAUCGGAACGUACCUUUCAGUGGGGGAUAACGUAGCGAAAGUUACGCUAAUACCGCAUAUUCUGUGAGCAGGAAAGCAGGGGAUCGCAAGACCUUGCGCUGAUUGAGCGGCCGAUGUCAGAUUAGCUAGUUGGUGAGGUAAAGGCUCACCAAGGCGACGAUCUGUAGCGGGUCUGAGAGGAUGAUCCGCCACGAUGGAACUGCGACACGGUCCAGACUCCUACGGGAGGCAGCAGUGGGGAAUUUUGGACAAUGGGGGCAACCCGGAUCCAGCCAUGCCGCGUGAGUGAAGAAGGCCUUCGGGUUGUAAAGCUCUUUCGGCCGGGAAGAAAUCGCACGGGCUAAUACCCUGUGUGGAUGACGGUACCGGAAUAAGAAGCACCGGCUAACUACGGGCCAGCAGCCGCCGCAGUAA
rnacentral:rRNA from 1 species